GACGAACGCUGGCGGCGUGCUUAACACAUGCAAGUCGAACGGAAAGGCCUGCUUUCCCUUGUGGAUUGCGGGUACUCGAGUGGCGAACGGGUGAGUAACACGUGAGUGAUCUGCCCCCAACUUGGGUAUAAGCCUGGGAAACUGGGUCUAAUUCCCGAUAGGACUGCAGGGUGGUGCCUGUGGUGGAAAACGAUUUUCUAGUGGUUGGGGAUGAGCUCGCGGCCUAUCAGCUUGUUGGUGGGGUAAUGGCCUACCAAGGCGGCGACGGGUAGCCGGCCUGAGAGGGUGGACGGCAACAUUGGGACUGAGAUACGGCCCAGACUCCUACGGGAGGCAGCAGUGGGGAAUAUUGCACAAGGGGCGGAAGCCUGAUGCAGCGACGCCGCGUGGGGGAUGACGGCCUUCGGGUUGUAAACUCCUUUCGACCGCGAGGAAGCCACCUGGUUGGAAGGGUGGUGACGGUAGUGGUAGAAGAAGCACCGGCUAACUACGUG
rnacentral:rRNA from 1 species